rnacentral:rRNA from 1 species
ACGGGGUGCAGCAGGCGCGAAAAACUUCACACUGGAAGCCAACUCCGAUGAAGGGGAAUUCCUAGUGCUAGCACAUUAGCGUUAGCUUUUCUUAAGCGUAGAUAACUUAAGGAAUAAGGGCUGGGUAAGACGGGUGCCAGCCGCCGCGGUAAUACCCGCAGCCCAAGUGGUGGUCGAUUUUAUUGAGUCUAAAACGUUCGUAGCCGGUUCAUUAAAUCCUUGGGUAAAUCGGAGAGCUUAACUUCCCGACUUCCGAGGAGACUGCCAAACUUGGGACCGGGAGAGGCGAGAGGUACUUCUGGGGUAGGGGUAAAAUCCUGUAAUCCUAGAAGGACCACCGGUGGCGAAGGCGUCUUGCUAGAACGGAUCCGACGGUGAGGGACGAAGCCCUGGGUCGCAAACGGGAUUAGAUACCCCGGUAGUCCAGGGUGUAAACGCUGCCGACUUGGUGUUGGAGGCCCUUCGGGGGCAUUCAGUGCCGGAGAGAAGUUGUUAAGUCGGCUACUUGGGGAGUACGUCCGCAAGGAUGAAACUUAAAGGAAUUGGCGGGGGAGCAC